GUAUUUAGCUUAAUGGUAGAGUUCUUGCCUAGUAUGCAUGAGGCCCUGGUUCAAUUCCCAGUGAAAACA
rnacentral:tRNA from 1 species